rnacentral:rRNA from 1 species
GAUGAACGCUGGCGGCGUGCUUAACACAUGCAAGUCGAACGAAGCACCUUGAUUUGAUUCUUCGGAUGAAGAUCUUGGUGACUGAGUGGCGGACGGGUGAGUAACGCGUGGGUAACCUGCCUCAUACAGGGGGAUAACAGUUAGAAAUGACUGCUAAUACCGCAUAAGACCACAGCACCGCAUGGUGCAGGGGUAAAGACUCCGGUGGUAUGAGAUGGACCCGCGUCUGAUUAGGUAGUUGGUGGGGUAACGGCCUACCAAGCCGACGAUCAGUAGCCGACCUGAGAGGGUGACCGGCCACGUUGGGACUGAGACACGGCCCAAACUCCUACGGGAGGCAGCAGUGGGGAAUAUUGCACAAUGGGGGAAACCCUGAUGCAGCGACGCCGCGUGAGCGAUGAAGUAUUUCGGUAUGUAAAGCUCUAUCAGCAGGGAAGAAAAUGACGGUACCUGACUAAGAAGCACCGGCUAAAUACGUGCCAGCCGCCGCAGUAA